UUCAAAUUAGUGGAAAGCUACUCACGAACUACAACUCUCAAGAGACACCCAUUUCUUCCAGGAUUCAAUCAUCCUCCUGAGCUUCAUUAAGGAGACCAGAGAUGACUGAGACCACUCGUCUUCCCCAGGACCUCAUAGCAAGUAAGUGGUGGAAAUGAGAUUUAGUCCAAAUGUGGCAACUGAGACUUUUCACCUAGCCAUUUACCUCCCACAGAAGGUGCUAAAGGUAAUCAGGACAGAGGACAUGAUGAGUUGACCAGAGGAGCAGCCAGAGCGCUGUGAGAAUUUGCAGGAAGCAGUGAGAAAUACAGACAAG
rnacentral:lncRNA from 1 species